rnacentral:antisense_RNA from 1 species
CUUCAGCGAUCCCAGCCACAGCGGCGAUUCGGCCGUGUGUGCCUGCCCGUAGGUGGCCAGCAGUGCCUGCGCCUC